UCUGGUUAAUUUAUAAUGAAUUUCCAAAGUUGGAAUAGGGAAUCCAGAAACCGUUCUGGCCCUGUUUCACGAAAACCUAAAUAUCUCUUAACAUACAACUCAUAUAACUGUUUCGUUUCUUCCAUAUGAAAGUAGAUUCAUCAAGGUUCAUUUACAUACUUUAUUCACUAUUUAAUUCCAUUCCUACUAUUUUUAUUAUUUUUCACAUCUACAUCGCUGCUGCUGUCAGCAUCUGCCUUUAAGGUAGACUUUACCUAUUUCAUAGUUUCCAUGAUUCAAUUAGCCCCUUUUUUUUUGCAUACAUAGCACAAAGUAUAAUCAUGAUAAACCAUUCCAAUGUCUAAUCGUUUCCAAACAUUUCCAUACCUCUUAGUGAUCAACAUACAAAACGAUUAUAGUACUAUGCUAAAAACGUAUAUAAGCCAUUUUCGCAUGGCUAUCCAAAUUUACACAAAAUCCAUGGGUACAUGACCAACAACAAGAAGGGUAGUCCUAUACAUGCCAUUUCAAAGUUCAACCAAAAUUGUACCAAAAGGGGGCUUUGAUAGUGUGGGAGACUUCGACUUCAAAAAAUCUCGAGUCCGAUAGCUGACGAGCCAAAAUCUAUAAAACAGAGAAACAAAGAAACGGAGUAAGCAAUUUAUGCUUAGUAAGUUUUGAGCAAGGGAUUCCAGCACAACAAAAGUAUAGCAUUCAUAUAGCUAAACGGAUAAUUUCAUAUGCACAAAUUCUCAAUAUCAUACUUACUUCACAUUACCAACCCUUAUGUUCAUACACAAAAGAUCAACUUAGCCAAAGGCCGGUAGCUCAUUUAUCGACUGAGCGAAUACAGAUUUGUAAGGGAUCAACUAAUUCAAAGCACACACGAAACAUACCUCAUCGCUGGGAUUUUACGAGCGUAUUAAUUUAAAUUUUUACAGCAAGAUUGCUCGUUCCCAAAUCAAGCAUCUUCGGGGUUUAGUCGGAUAUAACCACUCGCACAAGGCCUUCGGGUCUUAACCUGGAUAUGGUUACUAGCAUAAAUGCCUUCGGGACUUAGCCCGGAUAUAGUCGCUAGCACAAAUGCCUUCGGAUCUUAGUCCGGAUGUAGUCGCUUAGCACAAAAGCCUUCGGGACUUAGCCCGGAUAUAGUCACUUAGCACAAAAGCCUUCGGGACUUAGCCCGGAUAUCAUUCGAGUAACCAUGCACAUAUAUCAAUAAAUCAUGACACAUUCAUAUUUCAUUUUCAUUACCAAAGCUCAAACACAAGACACUUAUCACAUUUACAAUUUCGGCUCAAUAGCCACAUACAAGAGCAUGAUUUUGAUUUACUUAAGACAUAAUCUAAUCGAAUCAUAAUUUAAGUCCCAUUACUCGAAAACUUACCUCGGAUGUUGUCGAACGAUUCUGAUGGCUAUUCGACCACUUUUUCCUUCCCUUUAUCGGAUUUAGUUCCCCUUUGCUCUUGAGCUUAAUUUAACAAAUAAAUUGAUUUAAUCAUUUGAGCAUCGAAAAGAGGAACUCAAGGUACUUGGCCCACAUAUAUCCAUUAGACAUUAAAGUCACAUAUGUACGGAAUCAUGAAUCAAACUCAACACAUUAGUUAAUACUCUCCUUAGCCGAAUUUUCUAAGUCAAGAUAAAGCGUUCAAUAUGCUUACCUAUGGCCGAACAACACAUCAACCUAUGUACUCAUUCAUGUGGCCGAUUAUGCAUGUCUAUGUUGAGGCCAAUUAUAUACUCAAUACCACACACAAAUGGCAUACCUUUUACUAACUAAUGCAUUACAUAUUAUAACUCAAUACGCAUCCAUCAUGUACUCCAUAACCGAAACACCAUCAUAUGUAAAUAUAUACCUUGAGAUAUUGUAUAUGUCAUACCAAUACGUCAUGUGCAAACAUAUAUAUAUGUGCAAGAGCCGAAUCUCAAAGUUGAUUAUAACUAAACAUGAACAUAAAUCCAAAACACAAAUCUUACCUACCAUGCAAUAAGCAUAAAUCAUACUUAUGGAUAUACCAUGGCCGAAUACAUCACAACACCAUACCAUUUCAAUUUUGGUCAUGGUUAAACAAAGAACUUAAUGUCUCACUCAAAAAUGCUUAAAAGAAAAUCCAAGAGUCAUCAAUCCACCAUCACAUGUAUCAUUAACAAGCUUCAUAUUUAGAAUGCAAUGGCAUUGACACAAAAUCCACCUAGGCCGAAUAUCAUCCCCAUGACAUAGCAAAGAUUUGAACCAUGGGCUAAUUAGAACUCAAGCUAGCAACUAAAAACAUGCAUGAAUCUCAUGGCACAACCUCAAACAUACCUUAAUCUAGAUACAAGUAUGGCCAAACCUCCUCCUAAUCCUCUUCCAAACCAAACAUGAAGCAAGAACUCCUUCCUUCUUCCUUAGAAUUUUUGGCCAAAAGAAAUGAAAAAUGAUGAACAAAUUUUUUUUUCUUUUCUCCAACUCACGGCAAUGGGGGGGGAACACUAACACACAUUCCUUUUUUUUUUGUUUUCUUCCUUCCAUUUCUUAUUAGUUUAUUGCCCAUGCUUCUUAUUUUAUUUUUCCAUUAACACAACAUGUCUUAUGACAUGUUUUGCCCAUCAUCCCUUGUCAUGGCCGGCCACUAGUACUUAAAUGGGGGGAAAUUGACAUGCAAGUCCACCCAUUUGAUUACAUGCACUAUUAGGCCACUUGCAUUUGCCUAGCACAUUUCUAAAUUUUCUCACAUAAGUCCUAUCAACUAAAUUCACAUGCAAUUAACUAAAUCGAAGCUUAAAACUUUCACACAUUUAUAUUCACAUAUUUUAGGCAAUAAUUAUCACAUUCAAAUAAUUUGGUGACUCGGUCUAGCGGUCCUGAGACCGCUUUCCGACUAGGGUCACUUUAGCGCUGUCACAACUCUCCCCCACUUAAGAAAUUUUCGUCCCCGAAAAUCUUACCGGUAAAUAGGUUUGGGUAUCGUUCUUUCAUCGAGCUCUCGGUUUUCCAAGUAGCUUUCUCGAUCCCGUGUUUGAGCCAUAACACCUUUACUAACGAAACCCUUUUGUUUCACAACUCUUUCACUUCACGAGCUAGGAUACGCAUCGGUUCUUCUUCAUAACUCAUAUCGGCUUGAAUUUCAACCUCUAAUGGGCUAAUUAUGUGCGAUGGAUCAGAUCUAUAGCGUCAAAGCAUCGAAACAUGAAAGAUGUCGUGAAUCUUUUCAAGUUCAGGGGGCAAAAUCAAUCGAUACACAACUGGACCGACUCGUUCGGAUAUUUCGUAUGGCCCGAUGAACCUCGGACUCAAUUUGCCCUUACGCCCAAAUCUGAGUAUCUUUUUCCAAGGUGAAACUUUAAGAAACACCUUAUCUCCCACCUGAUACUCAAUGUCUUUUCGUUUCAGAUCCGCGUACGACUUCUGGCGAUCUGAGGCUAUCUUUAGACUUUCACAGAUUACUUUUACUUUCUGUUCAGCAUCUUUAAUCAAAUCCACUCCGAAAAUUUUACUUUCACCGAGCUCGGUCCAAAACAAUGGUGUACGGCAUUUACGCCCGUACAAAGCCUUGUAAGGUGCCAUCUUAAUACUUGAUUGAAAACUAUUGUUGUAAGCGAAUUCAAUCAAUGGUAAAUACCAUUCCCAUGAACCACUAAACUCAAGGAUGCAACAUCUCAACAUAUCCUCAAGUAUCUGAAUUACCCGCUCGGAUUGACCAUCGGUUUGUGGAUGAAAAGCGGUGCUAAAAUGCAGCUUGGUACCCAAAGCUUCUUGCAAUUUCUUCCAAAAUCGCGAGGUGAAUCUCGGAUCUCUAUCCGACACAACAGAAAUCGGUACCCCGUGUAAUCUCACAAUCUGAGAAACGUACAAUUCAGCUAGUUUAUCCAAUGAAAAAUCCGUACGCACGGGGAUAAAGUGAGCUGACUUAGUCAGUCUAUCAACAACAACCCAAAUCGCAUCCUUCUUACUUGCUGACAAUGGCAGUCCGGACACAAAGUCCAUUGUGACUCGACCCCAUUUCCACUCGGGUAUCAUGAUCGGCUGAAGUAAUCCUGAAGGCACUUGAUGUUCCGCUUUCACUUGUUGACAUAUUAAACAUCUCGAAACAAAGUCGGAGAUGUCUCGUUUCAUACCAUGCCACCAAAACCGACGUUUCAAAUCGUUGUACAUUUUCAUACUCCCCGGGUGAAUUGACAUUCGGCUACAAUGGGCUUCGUUGAGAAUCAUCGAAAUGAGUUCCGAAUUCCUUGGAACACACAAACGACUUCUGAACCUCAAACAAUCAUCAUCAUCAAUUUGAAACUUCGAUUCCUUGUUCGGAACACACUCAGCCCGUUUUUCAACCAAUUCAUCAUCGACUUUCUGAGCUUCACGAAUUUGAUGAAUCAAUAAUGGUUUGGCUUUUAAUUCAGCUACUAACACAUUGUCGAGUAGAACAGACAAGUGUACAUUCAUCGCUCGCAAAGCAAACAGUGAUUUCCGGCUUAAGGCGUCCGCAACCACAUUAGCUUUUCCCGGGUGAUAAUUAAUGACAAGCUCAUAAUCUUUCAACAACUCAAGCCAAUGCCUUUGUCGCAGAUUCAAGUCUCGCUGGGUCAUCAAAUAUUUGAGACUUUUGUGAUCCGAAAAUACAUGGCACUUCUCACCAAACAAAUAAUGUCACCAUAUUUUCAAAGCAAAUACGAUGGCGGCUAGUUCGAGAUCAUGGGUCGGAUAAUUUCUCUCGUCUGGCUUCAAUUGUCUCGACGCAUAGCCCACAACUCGACCUUCUUGCAUCAAUACGCAACCCAACCCAAGUAGGGAUGCGUCACUAUAAAUGACAAACUCUUUGCCUGAUUCGGGUUGCACUAAAAUUGGAGCUUCAGUCAAAUAAGUUUUCAGUUGAUCGAAACUUUUCUGGCAUUUCUCCGUCCAUUCGAACUUAACAUCCUUUUGAAGUAGCUUCGUCAUUGGUGUGGCUAUCAUCGAGAAACCUUUUACAAAUCGUCAGUAAUAAUCGGCGAGCCCCAGAAAGCUCCGAACUUCGGUAAUAUUUCUAGGAGGCUUCCAGUUAAGUAUGGCUGAAAUUUUGCUCGGGUCAACUCGAAUACCCGAUGCGGAUACCACAUGACCCAAGAAGCUAACCUCUCUUAACCAGAACUCACACUUACUGAACUUAGCAUAUAACUGCUUAUCCCGCAAAAUUUGCAACACUAAUCUCAGGUGCUCAGCAUGUUCGGUCUCAUCUCUUUAAUAGACCAAGAUGUCAUCAAUGAACACAACUACGAACCGGUCCAAAUACUGUCUGAAGAUCCGAUUCAUCAAAUCCAUAAAUACCGCAGGGGCAUUAGUGAGCCCGAACGGCAUCACUAAGAACUCGUAGUGACCGUACCUCAUUCUGAAAGCAGUUUUGGGUACGUCCGAAUCUCGAAUCCGCAACUGAUAAUAACCCGAUCUCAAAUCUAUCUUUGAAAACACUGAGGCUCCCUUUAGUUGAUCAAACAAAUCAUCAAUACGCGGUAACGGAUAUUUAUUCUAUAUCGUCACUUUAUUCAGUUGACGAUAGUCAAUGCACAACCUCAUGGUUCCAUCCUUUUUUUUCACAAACAAUACUGGUGCACCCCAAGGUGAGAAACUUGGUCGAGCGAAACCUCUAUCCGUCAAUUCUUGCAACUGAGCUUUCAACUCUUUUAACUCGGUUGGUUCCAUACGAUACGGAGCUAUCGAAAUCGGCGUAGUCCCAGGUACAAGCUCAAUACCAAACUCUAUCUCCCGAACAGGUGGCAAACCCGGUAAUUCUUAGGGAAAAACAUCCGGGUAUUCACAAAUUACUGGUACCGACUCAAGUUUCUUUUCUAAUUCCUUGUUAUCAAGUACAUACGCAAGGUAUGCUUCAUACCCCUUUCUUACAUAUUUCUGAGCCAACAUUGAGGAUAUUACAGCUGGCAACCCAUCCAAGUCCGUAGACUCAACUCGGAUUACUUCGUUAUUUGCGCACCUCAAAUCAAUAGUCUUGCUUUUGCAAUUCACAACCGCAUCAUGCACGGUCAACCAAUCCAACCCGAGAAUAACAUCAAAUUCAUCAAACGGCAGAAGCAUCACGUCCACCGGAAAACAGGAACCUCGAAUUACUAGGGGACAUUUCUUACACACUUUGUCGACAAGCACGUAACGACCCAAGAGAUUUGACACCCGAAUUACGAACUCAGUAGACUCAAUAGGUAAAGUCUUACUGGAUGCUAAGGUUUCACAUAUAUAAGAAUGAGUAGAACCGGGGUCAAUCAAAGCAAUUACAUUAGUAUCAAAGAGAGUAAAAGUACCGGUAAUAACAUCAGGCGAAGAAGCAUCCUCGCGGGCACGUAUAGCAUAAGCUCUAGCAGGCGCACGAGCCUCAGAUCUGGUUGUAGCAUCUCUAGAUCCUCUCUGACCGCCACUAGCAUUGCCCGUGUUUCUAGACGGUCUACCCCGAGCAGUAGUAGCACCUGGUUUCCCACUCUGACUUACAUUUUGUUCAGGCAACCUCGGGCAAUCCUUGAUAAAGUGGUCAGCUAAUCCACACUUAUAGCAGGAGCGGUCAUGGAACCUACAGCUCCCUGAAUGCCAUUUACCACAAUGCUGACACUCCGUUCUGUCUCGACGUUCAUUCCCAACACUGGCGACCGAAGUGCCUCGUGUACCCAUAGGGGGUCGAUCACGAUCUCGUCUAAAAAUGCCCGAAGUGCCUCUAGACCGGCCCACAUCAUCUCAAAAUUUCUUCGAUGCCUGUUGAAGAGACUUUCCCGAGGAUCUUUUACGAAACUCUCCAAUUCCCACAUCAACUUUUUGUUUUUCUUUUCUAAGCUCUUCGGCUUUACAAGCUCGCUCGACAAGUACUACGAACUCUCGUAUUUCAAGAAUGCCAACGAACAUUUUUAUAUCUUCAUUCAGCCCAUCCUCGAAGCGUUUACACAUGAUAGCCUCGGACGAAACACAUUCCUGAGCGUAUCUACUAAGUCUAACAAAUUUUCGCUCGUAAUCAGUAACUGACAUAGAACCUUGCUUAAGCUCAAGAAAUUCCUUCCGUUUUUGAUCAACAAAUCUCUGACUGAUAUACUUUUUUCGAAACUCAGUUUGGAAAAACUCCCAAGUUACUUGCUCUCGGGGCACAACAGAAGUCAGAGUACUCCACCAAUAGAAAGUAGAAUCGCGUAGCAAGGAGAUAGUACACUUUAGGCAUUAUCGGGUGUACAAGAUAGCUCAUCGAGUACCCGGAUAGUGUUGUCCAACCAAAAUUUAGCUUGCUCGGCAUCGUCGCUAUCCGUAGCUUUAAAUUCAGUAGCCCCAUGUUUUCGAAUUCUGUCAACUGGGGGCUUAUUUGACCUUAUUUGGUCAGUUACCAGAGGUAUUGUAGGUGCGGGGGUUGUAUUAGUCGGGAAUGGAGGUUGGGGAACUGCCGUAUUAGUUCGAAUGUAUUGGUUGAACCAAUCAUUCAUCACGCUAUAAAAAACUUGCCUAGCCUCAUCAUUCAGAUUGCUAGCAAUCGGUUGAGAGUCCGCCGGAGCUGUCCCUUGUGCAGGAGCAGGCUCCACACUCUCAAGAUCAUCAGCUACCGCUCGGUCGGGAUCGGUAUCCAUUACUAUAAAUAAACACAUUUUCAAUUGUCAGAAAUCACCACACUAUCAAAUAAUCACAAAAUGGCAUGUAUAGCUAGACCCAAACGUAUUACGGUAGUCCUAGAAUCGACUAAACCAUGCUCUGAUACCAAUAAAAUUGUAACACCCCGUGCCCGAGACCGUUGCCAGAGUCGAACACGAGGUGCUAACCGACUUAGUUCAUUUACUUGCCCAGUUCAUUUUAAAAAUUUCCAGACAGCUGGCUAACUGUGUCGCUGUCACCUUAAAAAUCAUAUCUUGAGUUCCACAACUCGAAAAUUAGUUUCGUCAUUUUUCCCUGAAACUAGACUCAUAUAUGCAUCUAUAAUUUUUUUAUAUAAUUUUUGGUUUGGCCAAUUAGUACAGUUUAUUAGUUAAAUUCUCCCAUGUUACAGGGAUUGACUACACUGACCUUCGCGCAUUACGACUUGGAUAUCUCCCUGUACAGGGAUUCAAUACAGAUUCCUUUUGUUUCUAUAGAAACUAAACUCAAAGAGGAAUCUAUACAUAUAUGGCAUGACUCCUAAUUAUCUCUGGUUAAUUUAUAAUGAAUUUCCAAAGUCGGAACAGGGAAUCCAGAAACCGUUCUGGCCCUGUUUCACGAAAACCUAAAUAUCUCUUAACAUACAACUCAUAUGACCGUUUCGUUUCUUCCAUAUGAAAUUAGAUUCAUCAAGGUUCAUUUACAUAAUUUAUUCACUAUUUAAUUCCAUUCCUACUAUUUUUAGUCAUUUUUCACAUCCAC
rnacentral:lncRNA from 1 species